GAUGAACGCUGGCGGCGUGCCUAAUACAUGCCAGUCGAGCGAACAGACGAGGAGCUUGCUCCUCUGACGUUAGCGGCGGACGGGUGAGUAACACGUGGAUAACCUACCUAUAAGACUGGGAUAACUUCGGGAAACCGGAGCUAAUACCGGAUAAUAUAUUGAACCGCAUGGUUCAAUAGUGAAAGACGGUUUUGCUGUCACUUAUAGAUGGAUCCGCGCCGCAUUAGCUAGUUGGUAAGGUAACGGCUUACCAAGGCAACGAUGCGUAGCCGACCUGAGAGGGUGAUCGGCCACACUGGAACUGAGACACGGUCCAGACUCCUACGGGAGGCAGCAGUAGGGAAUCUUCCGCAAUGGGCGAAAGCCUGACGGAGCAACGCCGCGUGAGUGAAGAAGGUCUUCGGAUCGUAAAACUCUGUUAUUAGGGAAGAACAAAUGUGUAAGUAACUAUGCACGUCUUGACGGUACCUAAUCAAAAAGCCACGGCUAACUACGUG
rnacentral:rRNA from 1 species